CGUAGCUUACGAUACAUGGAGAAUGAGCAAGAAGGCAAUAUUCAACCCCCAACCGAAGAGAUGGCUGAAAACCAAGGCAAUCAGCUACCUCCUACAAUUGCGGCUAAUCAAAAUCCUGCUCCACAUACUAUGUAUGACUAUGCUAAACCUUCUCUAACAGGAAUUGAAUCUAGCAUAGUUAGACCGGCUGUAGUUGGAAAUACUUUUGAAUUGAAACCUAACACAAUUCAAAUGAUACAAUAGUUUGUUCAGUUUGAUGGUUUGCAGGAUGAAGAUCCCAAUGCUAACUUAGCAAACUUCCUGGAAUUUUGCGAUACAUUUAAAAUCAAUGGUGUUUUUUAUGAUGCCAUUCGUCUUCGGUUAUUUCCUUUUUCAUUAAGGAAAAAAGCUAAACAGUGGUUGAACUCGUUACCACGAGGGUCAAUUACUACUUGGGAACAAAUGACCGAAAAUUUUUUUACUAAAAUACUUUUCGCUGGCUAAAAUGGCUAAAUUACGUAAUGAUAUCUCUUCUUUUGUGCAGAUGGAUUUAGAAACACUUUACGAUACAUGGGAGAGAUACAAAGACUUACUGAGAAGGUGCCCUCACCAUGGGUUACCACUUUGGCUGCAAGUACAAACAUUCUAAAAUGGUUUGAAUCCCUCGAC
rnacentral:lncRNA from 1 species